GACGAACGCUGGCGGCGUGCCUAAUACAUGCAAGUCGAACGCAGUGGGGACGGGUGAGUAACACGUGGGUAACCUCCCAUCAGAGGGGAUAACACUUGGAAACAGGUGCUAAACCGAUACGGAUGGAGGGACCCGCGGGGCAUUAGCUAGUUGGGGAGGUAACGGCUCACCAGGGCCACGAUGCAUAGCCGGUCUGAGAGGGUGAUCAGGCACACUGGGACGGAGACACGGCCCAGACUCCUACGGGAGGCAGCAGUAGGGAAUCUUCGGCAAUGGGCGAAAGUCUGACCGAGCAACGCCGCGUGAGUGAAGAAGGUUUUCGGAUCGUAAAGCUCUGUGGUUAGAGAAGCGGUAUCUACCCAGAAAGCCACGGCUAACUACGUGCCAGCAGCCGCGGUAAUUC
rnacentral:rRNA from 1 species